rnacentral:rRNA from 1 species
UGGGGAAUAUUGCACAAUGGGCGGAAGCCUGAUGCAGCAACGCCGCGUGCGGGAUGACGGCCUUCGGGUUGUAAACCGCUUUCGCCUGUGACGAAGCGUGAGUGACGGUAAUGGGUAAAGAAGCACCGGCUAACUACGUGCCAGCAGCCGCGGUGAUACGUAGGGUGCGAGCGUUGUCCGGAUUUAUUGGGCGUAAAGGGCUCGUAGGUGGUUGAUCGCGUCGGAAGUGUAAUCUUGGGGCUUAACCCUGAGCGUGCUUUCGAUACGGGUUGACUUGAGGAAGGUAGGGGAGAAUGGAAUUCCUGGUGGAGCGGUGGAAUGCGCAGAUAUCAGGAGGAACACCAGUGGCGAAGGCGGUUCUCUGGGCCUUUCCUGACGCUGAGGAGCGAAAGCGUGGGGAGCGAACAGGCUUAGAUACCCUGGUAGUCCACGCUGUAAACGGUGGGUACUAGGUGUGGGGUCCAUUCCACGGGUUCCGUGCCGUAGCUAACGCUUUAAGUACCCCGCCUGGGGAGUACGGCCGCAAGGCUAAAACUCAAAGGAAUUGACGGGGCCCCGCACAAGCGGCGGAGCAUGCGGAUUAAUUCGAUGC